rnacentral:rRNA from 1 species
AUGUCGCCGGCGACUUCUUCCGCGGUGGGUACCCUAUCCGGCGGUCUCCUUCCCCACGAUGCACAUCGCCGGCGACCCUUCCUAACCGCCCGCCUUCUCCCGCCGCGCUGGUCUAGGCUCCAGGUCAACGCGGCCCGUCAUCGCCGCCCGGCCACUCCCGCGCGCGCCCAGAGCGCUCCCUCCCCAGGGUACCUGCCGGACUCGGAGUUCUACAAGAUCGAGGCCAUCCUGAGGCCAUGGAGGGUGUCGCACGUCUCGUCGGGUUUGCUAGAAAUGGGGAUCAGAGGCGUGACGGUGUCUGAUGUGCGGGGUUAUGGGGCGCAGGGCGGGUCGACGGAGCGGUACGAAGGGUCAGAAUUUUCAGAAGAUACAUUUAUUGCUAAAGUUAAAAUGGAAAUAGUCGUGUGCAAGGAGCAGGUUGAGCCAGUAAUUGACAAAAUAAUUGAGAAGGCCAGAACUGGAGAAAUUGGCGAUGGAAAGAUAUUCUUGAUACCCGUCGCGGACGUUGUAAGGAUACGCACCGGCGAACGCGGAGUGCACGCGGAGAGGAUGGUCGGCGGUCUGUCAGACAAGCUGCCCCCGGUGAUCACAAUAUCAUGA